CUGGCUUUGCAUGCUGCUUGGCCACGCGGGGCUCGGGAGACAGCCUGAAAGACUCCCCAAGGCUGGGGCGGAAGGCAGAGACAGAGGCGGCGGGGAGGAUUGAUGGUGGGGGGGGGGAGUGAUACUUGACGGGAAAAAAAAGGUCAAACUUGAUCAGCCCGCCAGGCACCCAGAGGGCAGCGGGAGUGAGGAGCCGGAGGGUAAAUGUAGAAGUGGCCAUCGACCUCGCUAAGUGAAGACGGAGGCUCAGCCACGCGUGCUCACGGGCCUUACGAGCAAUUAUCAUCGCCCCCAAAACACAGGGCUGCGAAUGGGGUCUGCUGGGGGGAGUGCGCGCCGGAGAUCUCCAAUCAGCCGCCCCCGCAGGCGGAGCGCCCGCCCAACGCCGAGAGUGAUCUGCGACCGAGCUGACUGCGGCUUGGGGAGGCUUGAGUAUAGCAGAGGCCACUGAGCGAUCACCGGAGCUAGGGCUCCCAGCCUCCGGGGCUCCGGGACUCUGGUUACGGGCGCCCCCCGCCCCACCCAAACACGGACCCCUCCUUUCCCGUCCCUGGCUCUCCGCACCUGAACUUCGGGGGAGCCCGCGCCGCCAAACUUUCCGCCGACUUGCAGCGAACUCCGGCCCCGGCCGCGCACCGGGCCCCGGGGGAGGAGAGGGAGGCUCCUGGCCCCGGUCAGACUCCCAGGAGGCUCUUCAACACAAAGCUCUAUGUUUGGGAGCCACCACAUGACAAACCGGACUAGCUGAAAGCUGGAAUGACCUUAAGCACUUCAGCCUUCCUGUGGAUCUAUCUCAUCAAACAACCUAAUGAAGAUGUUUUAAAGUAUAAAAAACAAAAUAGGCUGGAAUAAACUGUUGAAAUACAAAUACAGUAUGCUUCAUUUAGUGAUUGUUAACAGCUCCUUUGGAUUUACCAAUCUGUUGAGUUGUGAACGGGAGGGAAAAAGUUUUAUGUGAAUAUAUGCUGAGUCAGCAUUUAUGUUUUCCAACAUUAAAUCACAAGAAAAAUCUGCUUUCU